rnacentral:hammerhead_ribozyme from 1 species
AUCCAUCUGAUGAGUUUCAAAUAAAACGAAAUGCGUGUCGUGGAU